rnacentral:snoRNA from 1 species
CUGCAGGAUAAGUUACAGUGCAGCUUGUUAAGUGCUACUCUGUCGUUCCCCCUGCGCACAUCAACUAGUUUCCUACUAUCCCUGUCUGUCUGCAUCCCACGGCAGGCAGGGACGCUUGGUCUCUGACAC